UUUUUUUUAAUUUAUCAUUUUAUUUCCGUGACAUAACAGCUGAUAUUGGCUGUUGAUAUGCUUAGCGUUCUUCAACUAUGUCGGUUCAUAAAAUAACAAAAUAAUAAAAAAAAUCAUCAACAUUGCUGUGUAAAUUAGUGUACAGUUGUACUCUGAUGGAUUUCUAAAGGAUAAGCAAAUGAAAAGGCUGUUUUGCAUAAGCUUUGGAUGGGGCAUUCCUCUGCUUCUAUUAAUUAAUAAAAGUGGAAAAAUAAAUGGGAUGUCUGGUGAUAACGAAUCGGGGGCGGGUGCCAAUAGGUACUCUGAAAUUAUGCUCAGACCCUCCCGGAGACUGCAAAAAUAGAUAGGUUAAAUCUUUACGAAAAACCUAUAAAUACUCUUUUGGAAACGGGCAGUUGAAAUUAGUAAGUGGAUUCUGUGAUUCAGAAGUUGCACACUUUUGGUAGAUCAACCUUUGGCAAGUUCUAGGAGGUUCCUGACUGAACGCGUGCUGAAAAUUUCUGCAAGUCUCCUGACAGAAAAUUCUAUCCUGACAUCAUACAGCACAUGACUUCUGUCUGCUAGAGGUCGACACGAAGCAAGUAUACCGAGAGACUAGUACUCACCUCAACUGUACUGCUCACUCACCUGUAAUUUUCUCAUGCACGUGUUUGUUGUAAUGUGUUCUCUGCAAUGCCUAAGGCGGUUUAAACCUUGUUCUGUGCAAAGUUGUUCGAGCGUAUGUCCUGUCUGUCAGUCAGUAUGAACAUGGUUCCUGUUCGCUUGUUAUCUCUCCUUUUCUAAAUCGGGUUUUAUACGUCAUGCUGCUGACUACCGCGGUGUUAUAGGAACCAACAAUGCUGUCCUCUCCAUCAGUCUCUUCUUUUCUAAAUGAAGCAAGCACGCUCGAAUAAGUUACCCCCUUCCCAAAGCUCUCUCUCACACACCGUCUCUCAUAUAUAUAUAUACACACUUACACAUAUAGUACUAGCUGUUGAGGCUGGUAACAUGAAGAGACAUGCGCAAUGUGAAGUAGCAGUCUGUAAAUCAGUUCAGGACAGGUGUAGGGACUUAAAGUCUUAAUUCAUUCUCGUUAAGUGCACGGGACGGGUCAAGGUUGGUGGGUAAAAGCCAGAGGUGGGGAACCUUUUCUCCCAAGGACCAUUUUGAUAUUAAUAAAUUUAUAGCAUCGUUCGCGGGACGCACAGAAUUAUCUACUUAAAAAUUAGUCUGCUUUAUUUGGCCAAUCUGUAGUUUCACCACCGUGUGUUAACACUUUUGCCACGUGUCCAGUCCCAACCUGCCUGGCACUGCUGUCCUCUGAGUCACCAAUAUCCACUUAUUCGUAAUUAGGUGUGCGAAAUUAUGCUCUGCCAUUAUGAAAAGCACAGUGAAACGACUGUUGUGAGUCUGUGAAAUAUAUGUCCAUUAUUGGAAAGUAGAGGAGACAAUAUAUUGAAACAAAAGAUUUUUUUCCUGAUCACGGAAGUGGUCUACCCUCAGUUUGGGGUGAAGUUCCACAUCCAUCCAUUAUUCCCCAAAGUCGUCCGUACAGUCCGCGGGGAACCGUCUAGAAGCAACGGUUUCUAUCCCGUCAUGUACUUGUAUGUGUCCUGUCUAUCCAUGUUUAUCCCUCAAAAUUGACAUUAUUAUUUAAUUAAUCGACAUUUAUGUUGUUAUGAAGAAAUUUUAGAUUUACUGAAAUCUGCGACUGACUUGGCGGGCCGGAUCAAAUGAUUUCGCAGGCCGGACUUUCCCCACCCCUGGUAUAAGCCUUUGUGUUUUACAGGAUGCUAUCACGAACUAAUAUCCCUAUACUUCCGUGAUGUUUCAGCGAAAGACAGACACGCACCACUGGUCUACACGAUCCUGCUUCGUCAUUCAAGUUACACGUGCAUGGAUACUUGUCUAGUGCAUGGUGGUCCAGGAAGCCACCUGAAAAUAGAGUAUCAUCUGCUUCUUAGCAGUCAACGAUGAAUUUGUAACAGUCACCACAAGAGAAUUUUAUUUUCCCUCUCACUGAUCUCACAACAGUGGCCAUAUAAUUAUAGUUAAGAAGCACUACUUCCCCAGGGCACAAUGGGGAAUUCAAGGAAAAGCGUUUUGUUUCCGAGGUUAUAAAGCAAUGUAGUCCAUUGCUUAUAACUACACGGUCACUUUUCGUGUUUCUUAACCUCAGGAUAUCUUUAUCACCGCUUUAUAACUAUAUAUAAUUCCAGGGUUGAAACAACACCACUUUAUAAUUUUUGGAAACAAGAUGCUUGUCCAAAAAUUUCCCAUGCUGCCCCAGGCCGUCAUAACUACCGCCUCUGGAGUAUUUUAUUUUGCCUCACUGACCAUCUCACCGCAGGCAGUAUACUGUAUUUUAUUUUCUCUUUUUAUUCCCCACCUUGCUACGAAGGACGGCAGGAUAAAAGAAGCACCUGUUUCCCGAUUGGGACGAUAGGACUCACGGCUAUUACCUGGCGGCGACAGGUGUGAACGUCUAACGGGAUCUAUUUUGCAUAAACAAAGGCUCCAUGAAUCAGCAAAGGUGGGCACAGCCUACAGCUUCCCCCGCAAAAAAGGAUUCUCUACCUCCAUGCUACUCAUCGACGCAACCUGUACAGCGGCCCUCUGACACCUGGCCCGCUACCCCGACGGCCCAGCCUACCUCCGGCCUGGAAAUUGUAUACUGCAGACUUGAAACUCAACAUCUGCAGGUGCUCCUUCUUCAGACCAGAAAAAGAAGAUGGAAAACAAGAUAAGGUAGGAAUAUUUAUAUUUAAAUUUUAAAAAACCGUUUUUCUUUUUAAAAUGGAAUACUGUAGUGGCGUGGACAGAUCUGCCGUUGAAAGCAUC